rnacentral:rRNA from 1 species
UGUACCAUACUCAGGCACACAAAAAUACUGAUAGCAGUCGGCGUGUGAAUCAUUAGCCUUGCGACCCUCGGCAGCAAGAACCAUACGACCAAUAUCACGAAAAUAGUCACGCAAAGCAUUGGGAUUAUCAUAAAACGCCUCUAAUCGGUCGUCAGCCAACGUGAGAGUGUCAAAAACGAUAAACCAACCAUCAGCAUGAGCCUGUCGCAUUGCAUUCAUCAAACGCUGAAUAGCAAAGCCUCUACGCGAUUUCAUAGUGGAGGCCUCCAGCAAUCUUGAACACUCAUCCUUAAUACCUUUCUUUUUGGGGUAAUUAUACUCAUCGCGAAUAUCCUUAAGAGGGCGUUCAGCAGCCAGCUUGCGGCAAAACUGCGUAACCGUCUUCUCGUUCUCUAAAAACCAUUUUUCGUCCCCUUCGGGG